rnacentral:rRNA from 1 species
CGAGCGGCGAACGGGUGAGUAACACGUGAGCAACCUACCCUCAACUUCGGGAUAAGCCUCGGAAACGGGGUCUAAUACCGGAUAUCACCAGCUUCCUCAUGGUUGUUGGUUGAAAGUUCUGGCGGUUGGGGAUGGGCUCGCGGCCUAUCAGCUUGUUGGUGGGGUAAUGGCCUACCAAGGCGUCGACGGGUAGCCGGCCUGAGAGGGCGACCGGCCACACUGGGACUGAGACACGGCCCAGACUCCUACGGGAGGCAGCAGUGGGGAAUAUUGCGCAAUGGACGAAAGUCUGACGCAGCAACGCCGCGUGAGGGAUGACGGCCUUCGGGUUGUAAACCUCUUUCAGCAGGGACGAAGCGAGAGUGACGGUACCUGCAGAAGAAGGACCGGCCAACUACGUGCCAGCAGCCGCGGUAAUACGUAGGGUCCGAGCGUUGUCCGGAAUUAUUGGGCGUAAAGGGCUCGUAGGCGGUUCGUCACGUCGGGAGUGAAAACUCGGAGCUCAACUCCGAGCCUGCUUCCGAUACGGGCAGACUAGAGGUAGGCAGGGGAGAGCGGAACUCCUGGUGUAGCGGUGGAAUGCGCAGAUAUCAGGAAGAACACCGGUGGCGAAGGCGGCUCUCUGGGCCUUACCUGACGCUGAGGAGCGAAAGCGUGGGUAGCGAACAGGAUUAGAUACCCUGGUAGUCCACGCCGUAAACGUUGGGCGCUAGGUGUGGGGGACAUUCCACGUCCUCCGUGCCGCAGCUAACGCAUUAAGCGCCCCGCCUGGGGAGUACGGCCGCAAGGCUAAAACUCAAAGGAAUUGACGGGGGCCCGCACAAGCGGCGGAGCAUGCGGAUUAAUUCGAUGCAACGCGAAGAACCUUACCUGGGUUUGACAUAUAGGGAAAUCCUCCAGAGAUGGGGGGUCCGUAAGGGUCCUAUACAGGUGGUGCAUGGCUGUCGUCAGCUCGUGUCGUGAGAUGUUGGGUUAAGUCCCGCAACGAGCGCAACCCUCGUCCUAUGUUGCCAGCACGUUAUGGUGGGGACUCAUAGGAGACUGCCGGGGUCAACUCGGAGGAAGGUGGGGAUGACGUCAAGUCAUCAUGCCCCUUAUGUCCAGGGCUUCACGCAUGCUACAAUGGCCGGUACAAAGGGCUGCGAAACCGUAAGGUGGAGCGAAUCCCAAAAAGCCGGUCUCAGUUCGGAUUGGGGUCUGCAACUCGACCCCAUGAAGUCGGAGUCGCUAGUAAUCGCAGAUCAGCAACGCUGCGGUGAAUACGUUCCCGGGCCUUGUACACACCGCCCGUCACGUCAUGAAAGUCGGCAACACCCGAAG